rnacentral:rRNA from 1 species
GAUGAACGCUGGCGGCGUGCUUAACACAUGCAAGUCGAACGGAAAGGCCCAAGCUUGCUUGGGUGCUCGAGUGGCGAACGGGUGAGUAACACGUGGGUGAUCUGCCCUGCACUUCGGGAUAAGCCCGGGAAACUGGGGCUAAUACCGGAUAGGAGCACCUUCUGCAUGGUGUGGUGGAGAGUUUUUCGGUGUGGGAUGAGCUCGCGGCUUAUCAGCUUGUUGGUGGGGUAGUGGCUUACCAAGGCGUCGACGGGUAGCCGGCCUGAGAGGGUGUACGGCCACAUUGGGACUGAGAUACGGCCCAGACUCCUACGGGAGGCAGCAGUGGGGAAUAUUGCACAAUGGGCGGAAGCCUGAUGCAGCAACGCCGCGUGGGGGAUGACGGCCUUCGGGUUGUAAACUGCUUUCGCUAGGGACGAAGCGCAAGUGACGGUACCUGGUGAAGAAGCACCGGCUAACUACGUG